CUCGCCGCCAGAGCCCCACCAUCGUACAAAAUCCUUUCCCGCGACCCCAAAGCUCUCUCUUUCUCUCUCUCUCUCUCUCUCUCCCCUUCCCUCUUUUGUCUCCUCUUUACCCAACAAAAUCUACAGUGCAAGUCACGGCUUUAGGGUCAAGGAGCGAAGCCUUGCAUGCGGCAAAAGGCAAUUUAUUCGUACUGCUGCUCCGACAAGUUUGACAUAGGGUUUCUUCACAAUUUGAGAGUUCAAGACCCCUGAAAUUCUUCUACUGAUGGUCUGCCCUGUGUCUUCUUCCUAAGAGCCCCUAAUUGUCCCCUUGUUUGCCUGCAGAGUUCGAGCCCUCGCUUGAUGCGCAAUAGCGUACGGUCAGCAGUCGUCGAACGUUGAUUCACCCUCAGAUUUGACGGGUUCAACCUCAGCACAACAGUCGUGGUUUAGUUGUCUUCUUCUCAUUAGCUACCACGCAUUCCCACAUGACAGAGCGCGUCACUAGGCAUCGUGCGAGCACACCACUCCCUGCUCGUGCCGAAUCUUCAGCAUACGUCCCUCGAUGCGCUUGCAUGACGCCUACUAGGCCAGUUCGCUUCCCUACACUCUUACCAUUGAAAUCCUGAACAGUUUAUGCUCUUUCAUUGUUUUCUUUUCCCAUUGCAGGAAAUUCUCAACAAGAAGACAGUCGGAAUACUAAGCGACCACAAUUGAGACAACAAACGCCUCUCAUCCAGCUCCUUGGGAUUUCAACACUAAGUCCCCAUCCUUGCUCCACAAAGCAAGACCGCAAGAAAAAUCAGAGUCACCGCUUUGCAGUACCCUGCACUGUUCCUCAGCAUUAACCUUUGCUUUUACAUCUCUUGCACUUUCUUAUCGAGCACGCAUUUACUGCAUCGGGCUUCGGCCCCGCAUUAGGCUCCGGCCCCACAUUUACUGCAUCGGGCUUCGGGCCCGCUUUUGGGUUUUGGCCUCGCAUCGGGCUUCGGCCCCUCGUCGGGCUUUGGCCCCAGUUUUGAGCUUCGGCCCCGUAUCGGGCAUUGGUCCUGCAUUUAUUGCUUUCGGGCCCCGGCCCAGCAUUUAUUGCUUUUGGGCUCCAGCCCAGCAUUUACUACAUUCAGGUUUUGACACUUCGCAUUUACUGCUUUCAGGCUCAUCUGAAAUCCAAAAUCGACUUGGAUUCAAAUUCAUCCAAGCGAUACUCCGAUGAGUAAGUCUAAUCCUUUUGCUGCAAAGACCGGAAGUGACAGCUCCACAAGCAGAGCAUGACCCAACUCUCGAUCGCAGGAGAUACCAGC